AUCAGAGCCAACAGAGAACAGUGAAUUUGAUAUUUUACAACCUGCUAAAUACUAACAGGACGUUCACAGAACCACUGACUGAUACAAUGGAUGCUGUUAAAGAUGGCAAGAUAAAACAAACAGAGGACGACAGAAAUGCCACCAGAAUCAUAGCCACGUAACAGACUGAAUCAUGAUCUGACAUCUGAACCUGCAAAUGUGAAGGAGAAGGAUGAACAGACAGACGUGAUACAUUCACAGUUAACAUGGAA